ACAGAUGCUGCUGCUAUAGUACUUUCAGGCAAGGCCAAGGCUUCUUGAAACACUGGUCAUGCCCCAGUGAUCAAUGAAGAACUCAGGGAUAUCCCAAAACUCAGGACUAUAAGAAUGAACUACUUACUGAGGAAAAAAAAAAUCUAUGUGAUCUUGAGCCCGAGAGGUCUAAUGUAAUUAACAAGAGCUGCCUAUAAAUCUACCUCAGAAGACAAAGGGAAAAGCAAAACUCUGCCCAGGAAGACCUUACUUUACAAACCAGGAACAUUCCCUGAAAUCACAUUUUGGCAAAACUGUUGAAAAUUAAGAGCUUAACUGAAAACUGACAUCUGAAUGUUGCUCUCAGCUCUUUCCUAUCAGAAGAUUCCAUUCCUCGGAUGUUAUCAAAGUCACCCCCAAACUUCCCUCAUGGGUGGAAGCUUUAUUAGCUCGAGAGCAACAUAAGAUGCUGGGACUGUGCCUUCUUUAUCUUCUGUUGGCCACAGUACCUAAUACAGACCUUUAAACAUGGUGCUCGGUAAAGUGUCAGAUGAGUGGGAAGAAAGAAUGAAAUGGUAAGGAAGAGAAGCUGGAGAGAAAGGCAGAAGAAAGAAGUGGGCAGAUGAGAAGCAAGAAGAGAGGAGACUAUUAAGGCCUGGAAAGAUCAAGUUUGCAUUGAAGGAAAAAAAAAUGUAUGUACACAUGGCCACAGAAUGAUUUUUAAAUCUUAGGCAAUCAUCUUGAAAAUGACUGUUUUGUAUUUCCAGAAGUCAGGCAAGAAUGUGGAUUACAUCACAUAACCAUCACCCUCCUGGAGGAGGCUGGGAAACCUCAAAGCUCUUGAAGUUCUCUUCCUCUAAUUGCCAGUCCCCUUCCCACUGAAGCAUGUGUCCUAAUCCUUAGCCCCAAUUUGCAUUUCUUUUUUUUUUUAAUUAUACUUUAAGUUUUAGGGUACAUGUGCACAACGUGCAGGUUUGUUACAUAUGAAUGCAUGUGCCAUGUUGGUGUGCUGUACCCAUUAACUCGUCAUUUACAUUAGGUAUAUCUCCUAAUGCUAUCCCUCCCCCCUCCCCCCACCCCAUGCAUUUCUUUAUUUUGUCAACUGAAUGUUGAGGAGAGAAAGACCAGAGAAUGAUCUCAGAUAGCAUGUGUAGUAUAGAAGUGAGAUAUAAGGAUUCUGGAGAUAGAUGGGGCUGGAGUUCUAGCUCUUAGCUGUCUUCUAACCCUUACUUUGGGCAAGUUUCGUAACCCCUCUAAGCCUAAGUUUUAUAGCUGGGAAAAUGAGGUCAAUACUAAGUCCUACAUUGUAGAAUUUUUGAAAGGGUGAGUGAGCAACCCUGAACCAGCCUUCUGCUAUAACCACAUAGGCCCUUGUUUGUGACAUGUGGCACAGCCUAGUUGUCCCAUUUCCCACAAUGAGUUUCUUCCUGGAUGGGAGAGAUCUGAUCUUCUUUCCUAACUAACUUCAGCUAGGACUGCCUCAGUCCAUCAGAGAUGUUCUAACAACAUUAAACCUCAAAAGGGAAGAAAUUAAGAUCUCAAUCACUUUUAUUCCCAUAAGCUUCUUAGCACCUUGUGGAAAUACGCUUUCACUCUCCCCACCCUACACGCACCAACGAGCAACCUCAUAUACCAAGGGCAUAGAGGGGCUGCCUUUGUCUGGCCAAAUAAAAUCUUAUUCUGCUGCCAUAAUUCAUCUUUAUUUCAUGUACUUUCUUCACCUUUAUGCCAUAUUUUCCUAUAGCAUGGAUCGUAUUUGAUUCUUUCAUAUUCAGUCACACAUUCUUUUUGUUUGUUAAGCAUUUGUUUACAUGAGUAUUUUUAUAUUGCUACAUAAAUAGGCACGCCUGUUAAUAUACAUUCACAUUUCUGAAAAGAGCCAAAUAUUCUCCCCAGAAAAGGAUCUGAGUCAAGCUGAUCUGGUAUCUCCAGCACCAGAAACACACUUUUAAAUAGCAGUUAUUCUUUUUAUGAGUGUUCCCACAUUUCUUCUUAUUGGGCAACCAACCCCAUCAAAAUAAUAUCAUUUAUUAUGCUACUAUUAUGUCCUAAGCAUUUUUUUCAAGUGUUACUUUAUUUAUUCCUCAAAUAAUCUUAAUUUUAAUAGAUCAGCACCAUUAUUCCUAUUUUUCAAAUAAGGAAACUGAGGUGCAAUGGGGUAAUGUCAUUGGCAAAAUGUCACUCAGCUAGCAGACAAUGGAGCCAGGACUCAAAACAAAUCUAUAUGGAAAUGUCACAGGCAUUUGAACCAGAGCAACUCCAUCUUGAAUAGGAGCUCGGUAAAUUAAGACUAAGACCUAGGGGGCAGCCGCAUUCCCAGAUGGUUCGGCACUCUAAGUCACAGGAUGAGAUAGGAGGUUGGCACAAGUUACAGGUCAGAAGACCUUGCUAAUACAACAGUUGCAGUAAAGAAGCUGGCUAAAACCUACCAAAAUCAAGAUGGUGAUGAGAGUGACCUCUGGUCCUCCUCACAGCUACACUCCCACCAGCGCCAUCACAGUUUACAAAUGCCAUGGCAAAGUCUGGAAGUUACAGUAUAUGGCCUAAAAAGGGGAGGCAUGAAUAAUCCACUCCUUGUUUAGCAUAUCAUCAAGAAAUAACCAUAAAAAUGGGCACAGCAGCCCUCAGGGCUACCCUGUCUAUGGAGUAGCCAUUCUUUUAUUCCUCCACUUUCUUCAUAAACUUGCUUUCAGUUUACUCUAUAGACUCACCCUGAAUUCUUGCUUGCAUGAGAUCCAAGAACCCUCCUUGGGGUCUGGAUCAGGACCCUUUUUUGGUAACAAUUCUAUAACUCAUGGCUACAUCAUCUUAAUUUACAGAAUUCUCCAUAAAUGAAAUAUAAACCAAUGGCUUAAAACGUGUAUUAGUCCGUUCUCACACUACUAUAAAGAACUAGCUGAGACUGGGUAAUUUAUGAAGAAAAUAGGUUUAAUUGACUCACAGUUCCACAAGCUGUACAGGAAGCAUGGCUGAGAGGUCUCAGGAUACGUACAGUCAUGGUGGAAGGCAAAAGGAUAGCAAGCACGUCUUACAUGGUGAAGCAGGAGAGACAGAGAGUGAAGGGGGAAGUGCCAUGCACUUUUAAACCAUCAGAUCUCAUGAGAACUCACUAUCACAAGAACAGCAAGGGGGAAAUCUGCCCCCAUGAUAGAAUCACCUGCCAUCAGGCCCUUCCCCAACACUGGGGAUUACAAUUCAACAUGAGAUUUGGGUGGGGACACAGAGCCAAACAAUAUCAAAAGGCAACUAUGGCAGAAAGUUUUAGCCUAUGACUCAGAAACUCAGUAGCUGUUUGGUGGCAGAGAGGGUGUACAGCAAAAGCCCAAGGAGUGAGUUAUGUGUAGGGGACACACUCACCAAGGCCCACGGGCUGCAGGAGACACACAGCUGUUUGGCUUCCCGCAUUGUUAGAGCCCUUACUUGUUCUGUCACUGACAAGUCAGCCCAGUAUUAGGAAGACCCACAGAAUGGCAGCAUCCUUGAAAACUUUCCAUGAGACAUGGCAUGUUGUAGUAUGUGGUAAAUUUAGUCACAAGCUGAAAAAAUGUAUAAAAUACAAAUGUUAUCAAAAUGAUUUUAACUCAGAGGCUGUAACAUUUUAAAGGAAAAAUUUUAAAAGCAAAUGAUAAGUAAUAUAUAUAUGUACGUGUGUACGUGGAUAGAUAGUAUUUAUAUAGAUAUAAAUUAUACACUAUAAAUAUUUACAAACGAGGAAUAUACAUGUGUGUACAUAUAUGUACAGAUAUCCCCCCCAAAUUAAAAACCACCUGUCAAGAUUAGAUAAUCUAUCCAUGUUAGACAUGACAAAUGAUAGCAUUAGAAGCACUUGAACUUUGUACCACUUAUCUGGGCAGCUACAUCAGAGAACUUGUGAUCUCAUUAAGCCAGAGUUCUUGGGAGAAGGGCCUCAUGGCAGUCAGGAGACUCCUUGGUCCAGGCUACAAAUACUAGAGCAGUAGUGCUGUCUUGACAAGGAUGUUUAUCCAGGAAUCCAUCUGACAUUUGGUCAGAAGCUACUGAAUUCCUUUAGGGUACUCUGGAUAUGGACUCCUCUGCACCUGGAGAGUGUGAGCAGUAAUAACAGGUAGCUACAGUUGAAAAGAGCAUCCCCCAUAAUUCCACCUGGGCACUGCCCUUCCCUUGUUCCUGUUUACAAAACCGGACUUCCCAUUAACUUCAGCCCAGCUUCAUCCCCUGGCUCCUGUUUCUUGCCUUUGCUUUCUUUAAUGAGGCUUUAUGCUCAAGUCUGUAUCCAACCUUCAGUUCCAUGAACAAGCUCCAUCCCUGGAUCUUGGUUCUACCCUGGCCUUGCCUUUGUUCUCAGCUCUGCUCUAUACCCUCCUAGCAUCCCACCCUCUCCAAUAUGCCCACCUUUCACCAACCUCACAUCUCCCUUAUCCCUUCCCCAGGACUUGGGCUCAUGCCUGCCCACAUCUGAUGUGAGCUCCUAGCUCCUAUUCAACUGGAGCUGGCUCAGCUCCCCACCCAGCUAUGUGAAAGCCAGAGGGCUACCGAGUCUCAAGGUGAGGCCCCAGCAGAGCCAAGAAACCAUUCCUCUUCCAAAAUUCUUGCCAAAUACAUAAGAGAGUCCCAAUAGCCUUGCCAGAGUCAAAGAUAAUUCACAUCUCUAUGGCAAUCUCUCUAAAUCUCUGUUCUCCAUCCCACAUUGUAACACACCCAGAGAAAGGAAGUGUUUCCCUUGGAAACCAAGGCUGGCCAUGCACCCGCAAUCUUAAUCAUUAACCUUAAAAGCCAUGAUGUCUUCAAAUUUUUAACUGUACAGGUUCACAAUGAAUGGAGAGGCUAUGGCAUUAUACUUAAAUGUCAAAUAAAUGUGUCAUAUUUCUCUUACUGAGAACUAUUGAGGAUUCAAGUGAUAGAGUUGAUUAAAAUUUAUACCAGAAACAAAACUAGUUUCUGAAAACUUAGUUCUACUGGAAGUAAAAGUAUAAGCUUAAAAAAGAAAAAGAAAAAAGAAAAGAGGAAAGGAAGGGAGAAAGGAAGGGGGAAGAAAAAGAAAGUGACAGGUCUUGUAGCAGCAAAAACUACUAGGAAAGCUUGGAGAUUUUUUCCCCUCAUUAUACAAUUAAUACACGGAGAUUAAUAGAAAAUUUUGAAAAAAAAAGAAGCAAUUUUUAAAACUAUUCCACCACCAAAAUACAUCUGGAUUUUAUGUGUUUUCUUCAUCUUUAUGCUAUAUUUAUCUUAUAAUAUAAAUCAUAAGUAUUUCAUUUUAUUGUAUACUCAAAUGUAAAUUUAUUACUCGGCAAGCAUAUGAUGAUGUUACAUCAUCUUUAUAAUCAUUAUUUGAAUGGUUGCAUAAUAUUCCACAGAUUCCACAGACUGACCAAACUGUUUUACCUAGUUGUUACCAAUGUAUUACCUGGAUAAUAAAUUGGAUAUUUAGGUUGUUUCUAAUUCUUUCCUGUUUUUAAGUAACACUGCUGCUAGUAAUACCUUUACACAAUUUUUCAACAUUUAGAAUAUUGUUUUAGGCUAAGUGUCCAGAAGUGGAUUAAUAAGAAAGAGUAUAAACACUUUAAUGGUUCCUGAUCUAUGUUCCUAAAUAUCUUUCAGAAUGAAUUUUUACCAAUUUACACAAAAAGGUUUGAUUUUACUGGACUCAUCAAAAUUAAACAUUGGCAUUUUAAAAUUAUUUUUUAUCAAUUAACUCAUUUUUUACUUUAAUUUAGCUUUCUUUGAUUCUUAUGUAUAAAUGAAUUAAGGUAUGAAUUUUUUUCAUUCUCUAUACAAUUUAUAUAUAUAAUUUAAAUGCUGUUGUAGGCAGAGAGAAUACUAAAGGAAUUGCAGACACUUACCAAAGGAUUACUUCCCUAAAUGUUAAAUAGAUUUUACCAAAAGUUAAAAUUUGGAAUGCUCUUUUGAAAACCAGAAGAUCUGAAUCAGUUUUCUUGCUUCUGCAUUUAAUUUAGGAUCAUUUAAUAAAGUACUGGUUGAUCUUGAAAGUGUUAUAUUUGAUAUUUUUGGCAACAGAAGGAGAAAGAAUAAUAUAGUGGAAGCACCACCAUUGCAGAUUUGUAACAACGGGCUUGUCUUACAGGAGACUGGGUGAAGCCAUUUACAUCUCAUUACUCUGGUCUUAUAACUAAUAUUUAUAAGUUAUAUAAAAUAAAGUUAUAAGUUAUAUAAAAUAAAUGCUUUGAAGCAUUUAUUUUAUUGUAUCUUUUGCCUUCCUCCCCAUGCAUAAAAUGUUUACUUAUAUGGUUUCCUAAAAAAAAAAAAAAGACUUUAAAAAAUUAUUCUCCAGAAUCUCUGGGAUGCAUUCAAAGCAGUGUGUAGAGGGAAAUUUAUAGCACUAAAUGCCCACAAGAGAAAGCAGGAAAGAUCCAAAAUUGACACCCUAAUGUCACAAUUAAAAGAACUAGAAAAGCAAGAGCAAACACAUUCAAAAGCUAGCAGAAGGCAAGAAAUAACUAAAAUCAGAGCAGAACUGAAGGAAAUAGAGACACAAAAAACCCUUCAAAAAAUCAAUGAAUCCAGGAGCUGGUUUUUUGAAAGGAUCAACAAAAUUGAUAGACCGCUAGCAAGAUUAAUAAAGAAAAAAAGAGAGAAGAAUCAAAUAGAUGCAAUAAAAAAUGAUAAAGGGGAUAUCACCACCGAUCCCACAGAAAUACAAACUACCAUCAGAGAAUAUUACAAACACCUCUAUGCAAAUAAACUAGAAAAUCUAGAAGAAAUGGAUGAAUUCCUCAACACAUACA